UACGUAGGGUGCAAGCGUUAAUCGGAAUUACUGGGCGUAAAGCGUGCGCAGGCGGUUUUGUAAGUCUGUCGUGAAAUCCCCGGGCUCAACCUGGGAAUUGCGAUGGAUACUGGCUCGCUAGAGUGCGGUAGAGGAGAGUGGAAUUCCCGGUGUAGCAGUGAAAUGCGUAGAGAUCGGGAGGAACAUCAGUUGCGAAGGCGGCUCUCUGGACCAGCACUGACACUGAGGCACGAAAGCGUGGGGAGCGAACAGG
rnacentral:rRNA from 1 species